AUCUAUGGCCAUACCACCCUGAAUGUGCCUGAUCUCGUCUGCUCUCAGAAGCUAAGCAGGGUCGGACCUGGUUAGUACUUGGAUGGGAGAAAUCCAGACAGCCCCCAGGCAGUCCUGGAAA
rnacentral:rRNA from 1 species